ACUCCUACGGGAGGCAGCAGUGGGAAUCUUGGACAAUGGGGGCACCCUAGCUCCAGCCAUGCCGCGUGAGUGAUGAAGGCCUUAGGGUCGUAAAGCUCUUUCGCCNGUGAUGAUAAUGACAGUAGCAGGUAAAGAAACCCGCGUACAUCCGUGCCAGCAGCCGCGGUAAUACGGAGGGGGUUAGCGUUGUUCGGAAUUACUGGGCGUAAAGCGCGCGUAGGCGGAUUAGUCAGUUAGAGGUGAAAUCCCAGGGCUCAACCCUGGAACUGCCUUUAAAUACUGCUAGUCUUGAGUUCGAGAGAGGUGAGUGGAAUUCCGAGUGUAGAGGUGAAAUUCGUAGAUAUUCGGAGGAACACCAGUGGCGAAGGCGGCUCACUGGCUCGAUACUGACGCUGAGGUGCGAAAGUGUGGGGAGCAAACAGGAUUAGAUACCCUGGUAGGCUCUGCU
rnacentral:rRNA from 1 species